rnacentral:rRNA from 1 species
AUUGAACGCUGGCGGCAGGCCUAACACAUGCAAGUCGAGCGGCAGCACAAGUAAGUUUACUUAUGAGGUGGCGAGCGGCGGACGGGUGAGUAAUGCCUAGGGAUCUGCCCAGUCGAGGGGGAUAACAGUUGGAAACGACUGCUAAUACCGCAUACGCCCUACGGGGGAAAGAGGGGGACCUUCGGGCCUCUCGCGAUUGGAUGAACCUAGGUGGGAUUAGCUAGUUGGUGAGGUAAUGGCUCACCAAGGCGACGAUCCCUAGCUGUUCUGAGAGGAUGAUCAGCCACACUGGGACUGAGACACGGCCCAGACUCCUACGGGAGGCAGCAGUGGGGAAUAUUGCACAAUGGGGGAAACCCUGAUGCAGCCAUGCCGCGUGUGUGAAGAAGGCCUUCGGGUUGUAAAGCACUUUCAGUAGGGAGGAAAGGGGUGAGUCUUAAUACGGCUCAUCUGUGACGUUACCUACAGAAGAAGGUCUGGCUAACUCCGUGCCAGCAGCCGCGGUAAUGCGGAGGGUCCGAGCGUUAAUCGGAAUUACUGGGCGUAAAGCGUGCGCAGGCGGUUUGUUAAGCGAGAUGUGAAAGCCCUGGGCUCAACCUAGGAAUAGCAUUUCGAACUGGCGAACUAGAGUCUUGUAGAGGGGGGUAGAAUUCCAGGUGUAGCGGUGAAAUGCGUAGAGAUCUGGAGGAAUACCGGUGGCGAAGGCGGCCCCCUGGACAAAGACUGACGCUCAUGCACGAAAGCGUGGGGAGCAAACAAAAUUAGAUACCCUGGUAGUCCACGCCGUAAACGACCCAAAUGGGAGUUUGGUGUCUUGAACACUGGGCUCUCGAGCUAACGCAUUAAGUAGACCGCCUGGGGAGUACGGCCGCAAGGUUAAAACUCAAAUGAAUUGACGGGGGCCCGCACAAGCGGUGGAGCAUGUGGUUUAAUUCGAUGCAACGCGAAGAACCUUACCUACUCUUGACAUCCACAGAAGACUGCAGAGAUGCGGUUGUGCCUUCGGGAACUGUGAGACAGGUGCUGCAUGGCUGUCGUCAGCUCGUGUUGUGAAAUGUUGGGUUAAGUCCCGCAACGAGCGCAACCCCUAUCCUUAUUUGCCAGCACGUAAUGGUGGGAACUCUAGGGAGACUGCCGGUGAUAAACCGGAGGAAGGUGGGGACGACGUCAAGUCAUCAUGGCCCUUACGAGUAGGGCUACACACGUGCUACAAUGGCGAGUACAGAGGGUUGCAAAGCCGCGAGGUGGAGCUAAUCUCACAAAGCUCGUCGUAGUCCGGAUUGGAGUCUGCAACUCGACUCCAUGAAGUCGGAAUCGCUAGUAAUCGUGGAUCAGAAUGCCACGGUGAAUACGUUCCCGGGCCUUGUACACACCGCCCGUCACACCAUGGGAGUGGGCUGCAAAAGAAGUGGGUAGCUUAACCUUCGGGGGGGCGCUCACCACUUUGUGGUUCAU